AAAAAUUAAUAUUUUAACACAGUAAAAAUAUAUAAUUUAAAUUUAAUAAAAAAAAACAUAAAUAUUUCUGAUAUUUUUUCGUUGAAAUAAAAGGCACAUGAUUCAUUAAAUGCAAGAGACCCGGCUCAAGCUCGAGUUUAUUUGGCCCAAAGGCUUACCAAUAAAAGGAAAUUACAAAUCAAUCCUCGAUUUAUUUUCAACCUUCCAGAAGUCACUACCAGCGCCCCAGUCUCUUUCGCCGCCGGAGACGGCUAACCUCCAUUAACCCUCACACAAGAUAAAGGUUGAGCAGGGUGCAUGCACUAAAGGACUCCAAAUAUUUUCCCUCUAAAUCGAUCAAAUUUCUCCUCGGAAACCCAUAUGAUAGAUUCCAAACUCUCUCAUUCAAUCGACCACCAUUUACAGUCAUAUCCACCUGAGAGCAUGUCAUAUGAUAUGAGGAAAAAGAAGAUCGAUUAAAUCCAAAGAUGAAACUUGAAGUCUUUUGUGCUUUCCGCUCCUAUUUACCAACGCCAGCAACCUUCUCUCCCCUUCAUCGACGACCAUCAACACAUAGCUUCCCACAAGAAAUUUGUUGACGAAGAAGCUGCAUUUGCUACACAAAAACUUUGCCAUUUGAGAUCGACACAAAACCACAAACAUAACCCAUAUAUUUACGCAAACAAAUAGACCAAAAGAGAUGCCCAACUGGCUUUAGACUUAUUAAUACUACUGGAAUGGAAUGAAGGAAGGUAAAGUUUAAGGGCUUCGGGACAAACUUCCGAUGGUUAUAUUAUAGCCACUCCUUAGACAAAAACUCAACUGGUGGGUACUGUGACAGAAGCACGGAUGCACAAAAUUUAUUUAACCAAACAGAUUAAACCAAAUCGAUCAAAUCUAAUCCAAACUAAAAAUCAUGGGUUCGACGUGUUAUGGAUUAGUUUAGUUCUUGAAUCAAAGAAAAUAAAUUUUUUUGAUUUGAUUAUGGUUUAAGAAUAUAAAAGCAAUAAAAAUCAAAC
rnacentral:lncRNA from 1 species